rnacentral:pre_miRNA from 1 species
CCCCCACCUAUGUAUGUAGGAUCCUAAAGGAUCACCAUUAAAUUUGAUAUGGAUCUUUAAAAAAGUUAUAACAUGGGUGUGAGACUUGAUUUUUUUAGAGAUCCGUGUCAAAUUUAAUGGUGAUCUUUUGGGAUCCUACAUACAUAGGUGGGAG